rnacentral:misc_RNA from 1 species
GAAGUGCGAUAAGUAAUGUGAAUUGCAGUAUUCCGUGAAUCAUCGAAUCUUUGAACGCAAAUUGCACUUUCUGGUAUUCCGGAAAGUAUGCCUGUUUGAGGUCAGUUAAAUAAAAAUCGGUGUUGUUGCUGCCUUUCGUGGUGACGCGUCGGAUUUGGGUCGUCUUACCUUCGGUUAAGUGACUUAAAAUUUUUGCAUGAUUUUCGAACGUAUUUAAAUCGCUUACGUACAGUACGUUUGAGAUAUCGAAUGCUUAUUAGGUUCGGUCAUCCUCAUGACCCGCGCCUAUAAUUUUUUCAUUAAAUGACCUCAAAUCAGGUAAGAAUACCCGCUGAACUUAA